UACGGAGGAUCCAAGCGUUAUCCGGAAUCAUUGGGUUUAAAGGGUCCGUAGGCGGUCUUAUAAGUCAGUGGUGAAAGCCCAUCGCUCAACGAUGGAACUGCCAUUGAUACUGUAAGACUUGAAUGCUUAGGAAGUAACUAGAAUAUGUAGUGUAGCGGUGAAAUGCUUAGAUAUUACAUGGAAUACCAAUUGCGAAGGCAGGUUACUACUAAGUGAUUGACGCUGAUGGACGAAAGCGUGGGGAGCGAACAGGAUUAGAUACCCUGGUAGUCCACGCCGUAAACGAUGGAUACUAGCUGUUCGGAGCAAUCUGAGUGGCUAAGCGAAAGUGAUAAGUAUCCCACCUGGGGAGUACGCACGCAAGUGUGAAACUCAAAGGAAUUGACGGGGGCCCGCACAAGCGGUGGAGCAUGUGGUUUAUUCGAUGAUACGCGAGGAACCUUACCAAGGCUUAAAUGUAGAUUGACAGAUUUGGAAACAGAUUUUUCUUCGGACAAUUUACAAGGUGCUGCAUGGUUGUCGUCAGCUCGUGCCGUGAGGUGUCAGGUUAAGUCCUAUAACGAGCGCAACCCCUGUCGUUAGUUGCCAGCGAGUCAUGUCGGGAACUCUAACGAGACUGCCAGUGUAAACUGUGAGGAAGGUGGGGAUGACGUCAAA
rnacentral:rRNA from 1 species